UGAUUCUCUUGAUCCCUAGACUGGGCCUCUGAACCUGAUGGGUUGGAGAGGGGAGGGGGUCAGCACAAAAGUACUGGCACGCAGAGAUAUCAAAGCAAAACAUAAUUUUUUUUUUUUACAAGAUAUAGUUGAGAGCAAUUAUAAAGCAAUUUCGUAUCAAAUCAUUUGAAAACACAUGGGUGUAAUGCAAUAGUUUUUCUCAACAAUAAUGAAAUGCAACUGAGCUAGGUGGAAUACCCUACAUAAUUUACUCCAACUGUCAAACCUCAGUUGUCGCCGAGAUUAGAGUAUAAGUGAGGGGAAGACACACAAGACCACACAGCAGGGUGUCUCGACCCAAUGGUAGUGCACAAGACCACAAAGCAUGGCUCCUAACCAUAAUCCCAAUUUGGGAUAAUAUAAUAUUAGGUACGCAAGACCACAAAGCAUGGUACCGAUAUUCCGUGUCGGCAAACACGUUCUUCCAGCGAUGAGCCGCUUGUGUCUCAAACGCCUUCUUCGGGCAUCCACCUUUCUCAUGUAAAAUCAAUGCAUUCAAAUUUCAUNNNNNNNNNNNNNNNNNNNNNNNNNNNNNNNNNNNNNNNNNNNNNUUGCAAGUCAUCAAUAUCAUAUCCACAUAUGCAUAAUCAUGUAAAAACCAAGGUGCUUCAUCAUUUACAAGUAGUGAACAAUAGUUAUUUCAAAUUCAUGCUCUCUUUUGUUGAUCACAAUAUAAUAUGGAGUAUCGAAACAUUAUCAUGGGAAUUUGAAAACAAUUUAUCAUUCAUAUUUAUCAACUUCCAUGGAAAAUCUCAAAUCACAUAUGCAUGGUUUCAACCAUUGAAGUAUAUAGACAAACAAUUCCCAUGACAUAAAGAAAACGAUUUAGAAAUCAUAUUGAAAGUAAGAAAUUAACAUUUGAUUGAAAACCCCAUUUAAAAGCAUGCAUGUUCAUAAAACUACACCCAUGAGAUUUUUGGAUAACCCCACGUACCUCUAUUUCCGAAGAUACUAGAUGUUUCUUGAAGCUUGCGGAUUGGUGAUUCCAAAUAUGUAAUUAUUUUUGAAAACCUACGAUCGAAUUUUGAACUAUUUGGAUUUUUAUUUUGAAACCCUAAGGAGAGUUUUUGAGCAAUUUUGGGGAAAGUAUGUGUAUUAUGCUGUUUGAGGGAUUAAAUCCCGUGUUGGUGGUAUAUAUAGGGGUGGAGGAUGACCAAAAUACCCCUAAGGAACAAUUAAGGUCAAAUCUGUCCCUCAGUUGACAGUUUGACAGGCUGGAGUAAAUAGAUUAUAACUUUUUACUCAUAUCCUUAAAUUGGAUGAAACUAACUGCAUUUGAUAGAGGACUCAAAGAGAUUUAGUUUGAUAUAUUAUACCUCACACAGUUCAUUAUAUACAGGGAGUUAUGAUCGUUUGAAGUUGACCCUGAAAUGCUGAAAAAUGGGCAAUAGGCUAUGCGUUUUGCUACUGUUUUGAAAUCCAAACGCAGCCUUAUACGUUCUGAAAAAUUCCAAAACUUAUCCAAGAUGUACUAUGAGCUUUCCCGAUCGUAACGCAACUUGAAAAUCUAAAAACAGAUGUCGGGAAGGUUGAAAAGUUGUAUCCCGAAGAUUGCCAGCUAAAAUGACUCUAAGUCCUCAUUACACUUAGAAGAAUUUUCAAGUUUUUAAGUCUGACGGCACUCUAUUAAAGGCUAAUCCAUGCACGACUUUUUACGGGGUGUUACACAUGGUGAUGAAGCGGAUCAAUACUAUGGGCUCUCAACUAACCUUCUCGUAACUUCACUGCAUGGAGGUGCAAUCAGCCAUUUCGGGAGGGAAUAUAGUGAGCUUGAAUUUGAAACUCUCCAUAGUUUCAGUCUCUUUUUUCUUGUCUUUGAUUUCUGUCAUGUGUUCCUGAUGUAUCUCUUGCUUCCUCCGUUGGAUCUCUUUGGCAGAGUUGAUAGCCUUUUUUGUGUUCUCCAGCGUCAUCUCUUGAAGGUCACGUACAUCAGCCAACUCAACUGGUACAGCCUCAAGCUUGUUGCAGGAUUUAAUCACAAGGUACUUAAGACUUUGAAAUUGACGACCUGCAACGUUCCAGGAAUUAAGGUCUGCCCUUUCAUCCACAAUACCUUGAGUCGGCUAAAGCCUCCAAUUUCUGAAUCCCAUAUCAUCCCACUAAAUGCAUUUUCUUUUAGCUUUAGGACCUCAAGGCAUUCCAACUUCCCCAAACUAUUCACCUCACUCCAAGAAAACCUUGUAUUUGACAAAGUUAACUUCUUCAAUUUGUGUAGAAACCUGACGAACACUGGAGGAAGUUGAAUAACUUUGCUCAUGGAGCUGACUUCUUCAUUCAACAGUUUCAAUUGCUCCAGGCACUUUAACUUUUGAAAGUUGUUGAACCCACCCUUGUCAGUUUCAAGGAAAUCAGCCAUUUGCCCUUGAAUACUAACUUUUCUGAGAUUACAAGCCCUUGUGAGCACGUCUUCGCUGCCACUUUCUGGUAAUACUUUAGAUAGAGUUUGUAGGAAAGAAGAUUCAUAUGCUUUCUGGGUAGUAAGGGAUGGCAAUUUUGUAGGGACAUUGGUGUGCAAAUGCCUCAACCGUAGCAUGUUCCAUAUUUCUGCUUUUAUUUCAAUGGUGGGCGCCUUUGUAUUAAUUAUAAGAGUUUGUAAAUUACAAAACUUACCAAAAAACGUCGGAAGGGCAUUGCUUUGAACUGAGAUAGAGAUGUACCUCAAAUGAAAUAGCUUUACGAAACACUUCGUGAAACUAAAUUCAAGGGAUUCAACAUCCAAGACCCUAAUCAGUGGAAAUACUUUGUGGAUUAGUUGAAUGUUACUAAGCCGCUCACUUUCUUUUUGUUUUCUGGGAAAACAUAAAAAAGACCUAACAUGCUCAGAAGAUGGUUCUGUGGAGAUAAAAUCUUUCAAAAGAGAAAGUUGUAUACACAAUCGACGAGAUGUAUCUAGAUCUGGUAUAGAAAGACCAGUCUGAUCUUUUUUUUCACAUACUUCUUGGAAAAGACCUCCAUUAUUACCCACCAUCUUGCAGAAAUGGUGCAACAUGUUAUGAAGACGGCAUGUUUUUACUUGACCGUUAAUCCUUUUCUGCACUACUAUUACUAAGUUCCUGUUGAUAAGGUCGUUCAAGUAAUACUCUGCUAUAUCCUCAGGGCUGCCCUUUAAGUUAGAGCUUAUCUGUCCCUCGGAAAUCCAUAAGCCAAUUAACUUCCAAGCUGGGAUUUCAAAACCUUGUGGAAAGACACCACAAUAUAGGAAGCACGCCUUCAUAUCUUCAGGUAGAUGACCAUAACUCAUUUCCACAAAUUUCAAGCAGCUUUUUGGGUCAUUUAUAUUUAUAAGGAGUUCUCGUACAUUGUCCUCGACCAUUUUCCACUCACUUUGUCUGGUGCGACCUCUUAGAACUCCUGAAAUUAACUCUACUCCAAGUGGCACUCCACUACAUUGUUUUGCGAUACUUUCUCCAUGUACUACUAACUCUUCAGGACAACUUCGGACAUUACUGCCAAAAACUCUAUUUUCCAACAAUUGGAAACUUUCCUCGUUUGUCAGAAAUUUCAACAUGUGAGGAUUAGCAUUGGCAUAUCUACCAAUACGUCCGUCACGAGUGGUGAUCAUGAUUCGGUGGCCUUGGCUGUUUCUCGGGAAAACAUUCAUGAAGGAAUCCACAACGUCUGUCGUCCAAAACAACGAGACAUUUGCCUCCUUUUUCAAUGGAUUCACGUAUUAUCUUGGCCAAUUCCCGCACAUUCAUGGUUCAUAUUCUGUAGUUUGUUUCUUUAACGCUUUCAGAAUCUUAAGAAAGAUGCCCUUCAGUUUGUAUUGCGGGCCUACAUUAACCCAAAUGGUCAGGAAAAACUCAAAGGAAAUCUGAGGAUCUUUUGAGAUUUUUUUAGCCAGUGUGGUUUUGCCAAGUCCAGGGAAGCCCACCACAGGGAUAACAUCUAAAUCACUGGUUCCUUUGGCAAGUCGUUUGAUCACUAUUUUUGCUUCCUCUUCAAAGCUGGCAACUUCAUUUUCUUCCAACAAAGUAUCCUAUUAAGAUGAUUAAAAGAUGAGAGAAGGUAAUAUGAUUUCGGUACUUACGUUGGCAUCUGUACCAACAGCAGGGCUAAAUGUUUAGCACUCUCAAAAGGUUACUUUGCUACUCUCUUCUCUUUUUUUUUUUUUUUUUUGUGGAAGGAAAAAACUCAUCAUGAUAUAAUGUAAGUUUAAACAUACAGUAAUACCAUAAUAUUUCUUUCACCAAUUAAGUUUGGUAACUCCUUAAUGAGUUUUCAUUAAUUUUAUUUAUUUGUGGGUCAAGUUUUAAAUGGCAUAAAAAUAAUUUAUUUUGUCAUGUCAGAGUUUUUUUGUUAUGAUAAAAUCAUGUUAAGUGAUUUUAUUUAUACAAAGGCCUAAGUUGAGUAAUUUUAUUGAUACAAAAUAAAGUUCAAGGACUUUGCUAGAUAAAUUCCCAACGACAAGUGACCUUUUGAGAUAUUAACUUCAUUGGUGAAACAUGAAACCUUCUUCUUUGAGGCCAUCUCUUUGCAACACAAGAAGGAAUCCUACAUAUCAUAUGUAUAGGUCCUACAUUGGACACUUUUUGUAUAAAGAGACGAACUUUUCUUCCUAACAAUUUCUAAAACAGGAAAGGACUAUCUUGGUGGUGGUUUUUUCUGCUAAAAAAAAUUGUUAAAAAAAGUGGCAUAAGUAGUGUUUCUGGGUAUUACCUGUGUGCCCGAGGCAACAACUUCUGGGUGAUAAUCUAGGAUUGGCUUUGCCUGGAAAGCCUGCGGAUUAUCUUUGCGAAUCUUCUUCACCUGUUCAAGCGCUGUUCUGAUGUCUACUGUAAGAUCCCCAACGGUUUUGUGAUAUUCAAUGUCCAUAAUCUGCAUAAGUUUAUUUUUUUCUUGGUGCAGCUUUGCCUCAACUGUGAGCUUAUCAAUGAGACCCUCCGCUUUAUAUACCAUAACUUGGAUUUCCUUGACAAAGUUUUCCACUGUUCGCUGUUGCUUUGACGAUAUUUUGCAGCAUCCUGUAAGAAGGCCUUUAAACGAUUAAGUUCUCCCAGUAGUUCAUGUGCAGAAUCAUCUUUUCCACCAUCAAUCAACUUCCAAGUUUCCUAUAUUAUUGGAACCAGGAUCUCCACUGCUACUAGUAAUGCAACAUCCGCCAUACUUCCUUUGAUGAAAAAGGAAAAUUGUCAGAUCAAAACUCAAUAGAAAGAGCAAAAUAGGGUCUAGGAGGGUAGAGUUUACGCAGAUCGUACUACUACCUUAGAGGUAGAGUGGUUGUUUACAGUAGACCUAGGGCUCAAGAAAUAAACAGUUCAAAACAGUAUAAAGAAAGAAAUAAUGGAAAUGAAGACAGUCAUGGCAAAUACUACGGACAACAUGGCAAAUCAUCCUAAACAUUAGUCACUACAGGAUACGUUGAUAAUCAUAAUGUAAAAACUAAAAAGUAAUAACCAAACUCAAGGGACAAGAAACUAUAAGAGAAAUACAAUUUCCUAGAAUAGCUAAUAUUAAAUAAGAACAAGCGAGAUAAUGCUCAACUAUCUAACUAACCUUUUACCCUAAUUUGUGCCCUCCAUAACUUUAUAUCUAAGGUCAGUAGAAGUUGUGUCACGUCCAGUCUAAUCACUUCUCCGUUCUCUCCAAUACUUCUUUGGCCUAUUUCUACUCCUCUUGAAACCAUCUAUAACCAAUCUCUCACACCUUGGACAUCCAUGCAUCACCUUUGCACAUCCCCCAACCAUCUCAUUGUCGUUUCCUGUAUCUUGUCCUUUAUUGAGGUCACACUUAACUUUUUUUUUUCACAAGUAUUUUUAAUAUUAAUUUAAAUAGGCCUCAUAUAUAUAUAAGACGUCAAGUUAAUUUGAAACAUCAACAAUUAAUUUAUCAUUUUAUGUUUAUUUUAUUUUUUUUAUUAAAUAUUAUUAACUUGUUUAUACUUAAAUGACUUUCAAACUAAUAAUAAAAGAGAUAAGGUAACAAGUCGUCAUGUCAGCUUGUGCUGCCUUGUGAUAUAGUAAAGUUAUGAUUGCAAUAGUUGAACUGUACAUGUCAGAAAUGUCUAUUUAUUUUUAUUAAAUAUUAUUAAUUAUCUAAUAUAUAAAUGACUUAUAAAAAUUAAUUAGGAGUGAUAUAGCAAAAAUACGGUUGAAGUAGCUAAAGCAAGCAACACAUAUAAUAAAGUCACCGUUGAAGUAGUUCAAGCAGACAACACAAUCAAGCAUGCUGAACUGCUGCCUGCUUAUCCCCGCUUAUUAUUACUAAGAAUUAGAAUCUCCUUUUAGGUAUGCUUAAUGCUUACCUUUCUUAUAUUUAUUUUUUGUUUUGGAAUGACUUUUUAUCUAAUUAUCACUCAUUGGAACAAGACCUUUUUGUGCUGGUAUGUUUUCACUUCUUUUAAUUUGUUUGAACUAUUUUGAUUUCAUAUAAAGUUUAAGAAAGUAAUUAAACAUUGAAUUGGUCUCCAUACUUUUCCUAAUAUGUAGAUUAAAGAUGAGAUUAAUAUCCUAGCUCUUUUUUUAAUUGAUAGUAAAAUUUCUUAUUUACCAAAAAGAAAAAGAUAACGUUAAUUCUUGUAUAUUCCUGCAAAACUUUUUUUCAACUAAAAGCGACAAACAACAUAGAAAAUAAUUAUUAUUAAUAAUAAAAAAAAGUCAAAAUAGUGUACCUUUUUCACCUGUACAUACUGAUUAAUUCCCCCCUCUGCUUGUUGUUCUCUCUAAUUACAAGAAUAAUUAUUGAACACUACAAAAAAAAAAAAAAAUCAAGAGAAAAGCUGAUUAAGAAAAGAAAAUAGUAAAAGCUCCGUUAAUUAGAGCAUUUUCUAGAGAGAAACUACUCACCACUAUGUUCCAUGAAGCAACAUUGUCCAAGUAAAAGCACUUAAUAUUUAUAAUCUAUAUAAGCUGAAAAAGUCAUGAUUAACAAUUUUGAUCCUUAAUUGUAUUUUUUUCCCCAAUUGAUAUAUAACUAAAUAUAUUUAACAGGUCUACUCCAAGUAUUUUGACUAAAGCAAAUAAUACGAAUGAUCACGCGGCUGCUGUUACCAUACCACAAUUUUUAAUUUAAUUAGUUAACAAAAUAAAGCAAUAGUUGCCCAUUGACCUAUCAUUAUUUAUUAUUCCGUCCAUUUUAUUUUACGUGUCAAUUUGAUUGUAUAUAUACUUGGAAAUAUAAGAAAGUUGACUUUCAAAUUUUAUGGUUUUAACUAAUUAAAGAUGUGUGAUCAGUGCCAGAGGUAGAAAUCCAUAUGCUGAUUCGGUCGAAUACAGUAGCUUUUGCUCAAAAAGUGUAUUUUCUUAAGAAAUCUAUUCUAUACAUACAUGUAUUAAAUUUAGAAUCCGGUUAAAAAGAAAAUAUAAAGUAAAAGAAAUGUAACAGUAAAUUAAUAAAGCAACCGUCGUUAUUACAUGAAUGUCCGCAUGGACACUCAACUUAUAGUAAUUAGCCAUCAAAGUCACUCAACUUUAUUGUAUCUUUCGAAAAUCAUCUUAUUCUGCCUAGUUAGCUUUCAUGAUUAUUUUCACAACCCAAACCGAGGCCCUUGCCGCAACGGGCAUCCCGAACCAUGAAGGCUCGAGAGCCCUUCUAAUUGGUGAUCAUAUGCAUAAUUCAUAUACGAUAAAGAUGCGGAAAAAUACAAAACAGAAACAUGGUCAUCUGACUUCAUCAACUAAACAAUACAAUAUGAAUUCAUAAACAUUCAAAGACAUUUAACACGUCUGAGAAAUCUCUAUCAAAACUGGAAAUAACAUCUGUCUGAAACCGGGACAAGGCCACCGGUCGGACGAUGAACUAAAACCAAAUGAAAACGUAACAUGACACAAGGACUUUCGAAACAUGGGAGGCUCACCAACUUCAAAUGUCCGAAAAACCAAUCUACUGCUUAGCGGGACCCCGAGACUGAGCCUCAGAUCUUGAAAUAUAGGGAGUCAAUACAAAUGUACUGGUACGUAGAACAAUCCAAAAAUAAAAUAUAUUUUUAUACAACAUAGGUGAGAGUAUUUCAUAAACGUAUCAAUAUAAAACGUUUGAAAACACAUGGUCAUAAUCUGAUAACUUUCAAAACACAAAAACAACAACAACAACAAACCCAGUGUGUUCCCACAAAGUGGGGUCUAGGGAGGGUAAGAUAUACGUAGUCCAUACCGCUACCUCCGAAGAAGUAGAGAGGCUGUUUCCGAUAGACCCACGGCUCAAGAUAAAGAAUCGUAGACAAAGAGAUGGAUUACAUAACAGAAAAGGGCGCAAGGAAUAAUAAAAAGCAAAUCAAAGCAAUACGAAAAUACGAGAGAUAGUUCAACAUAAAAUAAGAAAAUAACAAUUGAGAAAUUAUGAAUGGGACACCCACGUAUAAGUAACAAAUACUCACAGUCAUAGACACCUAUGAACGCAGUCCUAAAAUUACUAACUCGGCUACACAAGAUCUCUCCUACUGGCUAGCUACAAUCCACGCCCUCCCUCUAGCCUUCUACCCUUAUUCGCGACCUCCACACCUUCCUAUCUAUGGCCAUGUCCCCAGUAAGCUGCAAAUGCUCCAUGUCAUGUUUGAUCACCUCCCUCCAGCUUUUCUUCGGCCUACCUCUAUUCCUCCUGAAGCCAUCUAACGCUAGCCUCUCACACCUACGAACUGAGGCAUCUGCGUUUCUACUCAUCAUAUGUCCAAACCGUCUUAACCUUCCUUCCCACAUCUUGUCCUCCACUGAUGCCACUCCCAUCUUCUCCCGAAUAAUCUUAUUCCUAACCCUAUCCCCUCUAGUAAGCCUACACAUCUAAGCAACAUCCUCAUUUCUGUCACCUUCAAUUUCUCGAUAUGGGAGUGCUUGACUGGUCAAUACUCCAUGCCAUACAACAUGGCCGGACGGAUUGCCACUAUAUAGAAAGUCUUUAAGCUUAAGGGGCACUUUCUUAUCACACAACACUCCCGAGGCGAGCCUCCAAUUCAUCCAACCUGCUCCAAUAUGAUUAGUGACAUCCUCAUCAAUCUCAUCAUUCCCCUAGAUCAUAGACCCAAGAUACUUAAACCUAUCUUACUUACAAACAUCCCGAGAGUCCAACCUCACUACUAUAUCGUCCUCCUGCCUCAAGUCACUAAACUUACAUUCUAAAUACUCCGUCUUGGACCUACUCAACAUACACCCCUUCGACUCAAGGUUUUGCCUACAAACCUCCAAUUUGUCGUUCACGCCCCUCUGCAUCUCAUCAAUCAGCACUACAUCAUCCGUAAAUAGCAUACACCAAGGCACCUCACCUUGAAUACUCCGUGUCAACACGUCCUUCACCAAUGCAAAUAGGAACAAACUAAGAGUCGAUCCCUGAUGCAAUCUUGUCUCGACCAGAAAGUGGUCUAAGUCUUCUCCCGCCGUCCUCACCCUGGUCUUUCCUCCAUCAUACAUUUCCUUAAUAACUCUGAUGUACGCCAUCGGGGACCUCUCUCACCUCCAAGCACCUCCAAAGAGCCUCCCUUUGGACUUUAUCAUACGUCUUUUCCAUGUCGAUGAACACCAAGUGUAAGUUCUUCUUCCUUUCUCUAUACUGCUCCACCAAUCUCCUUACCAAAUGGAUUGCCUCUAUCAUCGAGCGACCAAGUAUAAAUCCAAACUGAUUCUCCAAAACAGAUACAACCCUCCUCAAUCUCCGCUUAACCACUCUCUUCCAAAUCUUCAUAAUGUGACUCAAUAGCUUAAUACCACUAUAGUUGUUGCAACUCUGAAUGUCACCCUUAUUUUUAUAAAGAGGAAUCAUCAUACUCUAUUUCCAAGCCUUAGGCAUUCUCGCUGUCUUGUAAAUGCUGUUAAACAAAUUCGUCAACUACCUUAGACUUGCCCCACCCACAUACUUCCAAAAAUCUUUCAAAAUCUUAUCCAGCCUCGUCGCACUACCCCUCCGCAUCUUACGAAUAGCCUCUUUGGCCUUCUCUACCCUAAAAUUCCUAUAGUAGCUAAAAUCACAGCUCUCCUUCGAAUGCUCAAGCUCCCCUAACACAAGGCCUCUUUCCCCUUCCUCAUUCAAAAGUCUAUGAAAGUACUCCUACCAUCUCUUCUUAAUGUGAACAUCCUCCAACAGAACACUACCAUCCUCCCCCUUAAUGCACUUCACUUGAUCUAGCUCACAAACCUUCCGCUCCCUAGCUUUUGCUAGCCUAUACAACCUCUUUUCUCCUUAUUUCUCCUAUAACCUAGGAUACAAGCUCUCGAAUGCUGCAGACUUGACAGCUGAAAUUGCUAACUUAACCUCUUUCCCAUCUACCUUGUAAACCUCCCUAUUCACCCGCUUCUCUUCUUUAUCUUUACUCUCAAUAAACUUAACAUAUGCCCCCUUCUUAAUCUCCACUUUCUUUUUUUACUUCUUCAUUCCACCACCAGUCCCCCUUCUGCUGACCUGCUCGGCCCCUCGAAACACCCAACACUUCUCUAGCAGUCUCCAUGAUGCAGCUGACCGCUCUAUCCCACAAACAUCCACAUCCCCCCUGCACUCCCACGCCCCCAAACCUGCCACCUUUUCCCCUAUCUCUAGUGCACUUUCUGGAGUCAAGCUACCCCAUUUAAUUCUCUUUUGAGCUAGAUGGUACACCCUACAAUCUGUAAUUCCAUGGGCUAUAUGGAAUCCUCUCUUGACUUGGAGGCCAAGCCCCCAAAUUGAGUUUGCCGCAAGGGUUGGAGUCUCUAUAUCUCUACUACGCCAUAGGGCCAUCGCCAGCGUGCAAUCCCCCCUUUUAGGGCAAUAUGAACCUGUGUCGGCAAAUCACGAUUUUGGAAAAUGAGUUGUUUGAACUCAUUCCUUCUUCGGGCAACCAUCUAACUCUCUUAAGCUCAAUUUAAGACUUUAAAACAUAUCUUCUUCGAAAAGUUAUUUCUUUCUUAUUCUGCUUCGGGCACAUCAUAAUAAGGUAUCGUCAUACCCAGACUAGCAAGUCAUAUCACAACCUCUCUACUACCCUUUUUUUCUUAGUUCAAAAGGUAUUUAUUGACUACCCAAAGGAUCUACUAGUCAGACAAAAGUUUAUGUUUUAAAACAGUUGAAAACCAACCAAAUCUCUAUUCAACACUUCAUCUACGGUGGUCAUCCUUUUUAAUCAAUCUAAAGCCAUCUCGAAUGUAACAUGAUUACUUAUAAAAACAAGUAAAAAUACCAUUUCAUCAUCUCAUAAAAACAAUGCAAUUUGUACAUAACAGUCCAUCAACAGACUCAAGCUUUUAACAGCUCAUAUAAUCAAUUCACAACAUGCAAACUCAAUGAAUUUCAUAGCAAAAGAGGGAAUUACAUAUCCCAUGCUCUCAUUUAACUUCUCAAAUAUUGAUAUUCCAUCGUCACACGAAAAUAAUUCGAGUUUAAAACACCAUAUCACAAUUUCUACAAUACUUCAUCAUAUCAUAGGUUUCCAUGCAUGUUCAUCAGCAACCUUGAAAUCAAUUUUGUAUGAAUACAUAUGCUCUUUAAAACUAGUUUAAAAAUAGUAAAUUCAUGCCCAUGAGGUUUAAGAUAGUCCCACGUACCUUAAGUUCCUUAGUUUGGAGAUUGAUACCCUAAUCUUGACUCUUUUCUUGAAAAUCUUUAACUUAGAGGUUGAAUUCUUAAUCUUUGGGAAGAGUUAGGGUUUCGUUGAGAGAUAAUUUGAGUAAUCUUUGGCAGAUAAUGCCCUAAAUACGACUUAAUCUCGUAUUCUGACGAUUGGGGAUAUGGGAAAAAGGCGAGAUCGCCCUUCAAAAAUUAGUUCACAACUGAAUCCCGAUUUGGUGGCCCACUACAACGCGCCAGAGGGCUCAUCGCCAUAGGCACUUCGACGCGGUGCAAUCGCGAUGACUUACUGUUUUCGUGAACCAAACACGGCUUAAAACUCGUCCGAAAAAUCCAAAACUUUUUUGAGACAUGCCCUUUACACCCUCGAACAUGUAAUAACUCAUAAAUCUACGUCUCAGGGUCGGAAAGACCAAAUUAAAAAUCAUUGACGUUAGGAGCUUAAAAUAUGACUUAACUCUUUCAACACUUAGAAAAAUUUCAGGCUUUAAAUUCCCUAUGCAUGCUACUAUGAGUGGUAUCAAGUCAAGAAUGCUACGAGUGUUACAAUUAUUUUAGUCGAAAAUACAAAUUUUGGUACCUAUUAAAAUAUGACUGUCGCAUGCUACUGUAAGUAAGGUUUCUCUAAUAAUUUAUAAAAGGUUUCACAAAUAAUUAUAACAUUAUUCACUAUAAACUAAUAAUGUAAUUUCCACUGAUUUUAUUUUAAAAUCCUCACUUUAUUGAUCUAAUUUUAUAGAGAAAAGCAUCUAGUACCUCUAAACUAUAAUCAAAUUUGUUACGACACACUUCAACUUCAUGGGGUUCUAAUACCCUGCUACACUAAAAUUUUUGCAUACUUUUGUCAACCUUUUUAGCUGAUGUGGCACCUUUGACGUGGGUCCCAUUUUAUGUUAUAAAGGUUCCACAUCAACACAAAGGGAUGAUGAAAAUAUGCUUAAAUUGAGUUCAGGGGCAACAAGAUCCCUGUGAAGUUGGAGUGUGGCAUACCACAUCAACACAAAAGGGUGACAAAAUUAUGCUUAAAUUGAGUUCAUGGUAAUAGGAUCGCUGUAAAGUUGGAGUGUACCGUAGCAACUUUGGUCAUAGUUCAGAGGGGUACUGUAGAUGUCCUCCUCAAGUUCUCCAUGUAAGAAUGCAGUUUUAACAUCCAACUGCUCAAGCUCAAGAUUAAGCAUGGCUACAAUACCAAGCAAUGCUCGAAUCAAACUAUGCCUUACAACUGGAGAAAACACAUCUGUGAAGUCAAUACCUGGAACCUGACUGUAACCUUUAGCAACUAGUCUUGCUUUGUACCUAGCAUCUUCAACUCCCAAUGUUCCUUCUUUCUUUUUGAAUACCCACUUGCAACAGACAACUUUCUUAUCUUUAGGCAAUCUCACCAGAUUUUAUGUGCCAUUCUUAUGAAGUGAUUCCAUCUCCUCCUGCAUAUAAAUCAUCCAUCGGCCAAAAUCAUCAUAACUAAUUGCCUCCGAUAAAGAAGAAGGAUCUGCUCCGAAAUUAAUAACUUUUUCUACAAUCAAUGCAUAAGCAACCAAAUCAGCUUCAGCAUACUUCUGAGGAAGUCUAAUAUCUCUUCUAUGCCUAUCUUUAGCAAUAGAAUAUUAUGGAACCACUGGUGGUGAAGAAGAAAUAGUAUCACUCUGUAUCUCCAGGCUAGACUGAGAAGUAGACACUGGUGUAGACUCUACUCCAAUCUGUAAUUCAACAUGGGUGCUUGACUUUUGCUGAUUUAUGUCACUAAGCUCAUCUGGGGUGAAGCACUAGAUUUGAUGGUAGCCCAAAGCAUGACAGUUUCAUCAAACACAACAUCCCUGUUAAUUAUAAUCUUUCUACUUUUUGGACACCAAAGCUUCUAACCUUUAACACCAGGCUUAUAACCCAUAAAUAAGUACUUGACAGAACUAGAUUCCAACUUUUCAUUAUCAAUAUGAGCAUACGCAAGACAUCAAAAUAUCCUCAAAUUAGGAUAACUACUGGGAGUACCAGACCAUACUUCUUGUGGAGUCUUUUUAUCAAUUACGACCAAGGAAGACCGGUUAAUAAGAAAACAAACUGUAGAAGCAGCUUCAGCCCAAAAAGACUUGGGUAAACCAGUAUUAGAGAACAUACAACACGCCUUCUCUAUUAUAGUCCUAUUUAUUUGGCCAUACCAUUCUACUGCGGAGUAUGACGAACUAUCAAGUUCUUCACAAUUCCUUCUAACUUGCACAAACCAUUAAAUUCAUUAGAACAAAACUCUAAACCAUUAUCUGUCCGAAGGCAUUUUACCUACUUCCCUGCCUGCUAUCAAUCAUAGUCUUUCACCCCUUGAAAAUAGGCAACACAUUAUUCUUUUGCUUCAGAAAGAACACCAAAACUUUUGUGGAAUAGUCAUCAAUAAUAAUCAACAAGUAAUUAGUGCCUCCUCUAGAAGGUACUCUAGCAGGACCUUAGCAGGACCUCAGAGAUCAGAAUGAAUGUAAUUAAGUGUGCCUUAGUUGAGUGGAUGCCUUUAGUGAAUGUGACUCUCUUCUUCUUCCCAAAAAUGUAGUACUCACAGAACUCCAAUUUCGUAAUACUCUGCCCAUCAAGAAUUCCUCUCCGGUUUAUUUCAGCUGUCCCAUUUCCACUCAUAUGCCCCAGGCACACAUGCCAAAGUUUAGCAACAUCACUUUCUGAUAGAAAGGAGGUAGAAAUAGUUGUAUCACCUGUAACAGUAGAGCCUUGCAGGACAUACAAAUUUGCAGACUUUCUCUGUCCCUUCAUCACCAUAAGAGAACCUUUAUUAACCUUCAAGACUCUACCUUCACCAGUGUACCUAUAACUGUUCGAAUCAAGGGUACUCAAGAAAAUAAGAUUUCUCUUCAGGUCUGGGACAUACCGCACAUCACCAAGUGUCCUCACAAUCCCAUCAAACAUCUUGGUCCUGAUUAUUCCAAUACCAGCUAUCUUACAAGGUGUGUUAUUUUCCAUCAACACAAUACCUUUAGAUACUAUUUCAUAUGUUGUAAACUAAUCCCGAUUACAACACAUAUGAAACGUGCAAGCUGAAUCAAGAAUCCAAUCCUCAUAGGGUUUGGAGUUACCAUCAGAAACUACCAAUAAUUCUCCAUCACUACCGCUAUCUUUCAUAAAACUGGCUUCACUGGACUUCUCUGGUUGGUUUCCCUUCAAUUUUGGAGCUUCUCUUUUCUCUUUAUUUUGUAGCUUCCAACACUCAGAUUUGAUAUGGCCCUUCUUCUUGCAGAAAUUACAGGUUUUGUUUUUAUUUCUGGAUUUUGACCUAUUCCUGUCAUCACCCCAGAAUUUGUCUCACGAUUCCUUCCUCCUCGAAUAAUAAGACCAUCUCCUUGAGUCUCCGACCCAUUCACAAGAUGUUUUAUCUUCUUUUUAGAGAACAACACAUCAUAGACUUCAUUAAUCGUUAGGGUACCACGGCUAUAUAAAAUCAUAUCUCUAAAGGUCGUAUAUGAUGCAGGUAGCGAACAAAUCAAAAUCAACCCUAGAUAUUUCUCAUCGUACUUAACCUUCAGAAUCUCUAAAUCAGAGACGAUUUCCUUAAAUACAGAUAGGUAAUCCUCCAAGGAUGCACCCUCAGAUAUGCGAUAGGAAUAAAGUCAUUGCAUGAGAUGCAACUUACUUGUUAGGAUCUUCAUUAUACACAGUUAUUCCAGUUUCAACCACAACAGCGGCUGUGGUCUUCUUCAAAAUAACUUGCAGAAUUUGACUAGAUAAAUAAAGGUGGAUCUGAGAUAGAGCCUUCCGAUCCUUAUGUCAUUUGUCCUCAUUCAUCCAUGAUGAGGGAAUCUUCUCAAACCCUAAUAAAUCAUCAUCCAAAUCCAUCUGCGCGAGCACAACCCACAUCUUAACCUACCACAACAAAAAUCUAGUGUUGCAAUCCAACAAUGGAAUAUUACACUUCAUGGUUGCCAUCCCCAAGAAAAUAAUUUAAUAGGCUCUGAUACUAGUUUGUUAGGAAUCAGGCAAAAAUAAAGCAAACCAUAAGCAGAAAGAAAACAAGAACACAUAGAUUUAAGUGGAAACCCUUACAAGAAAAACCACGGGCAGAGGCAGAGGAUGUUUUACUAUAAUGAAAGGAGAGAAGUACAAUGUGGAGAAUGAGUAUUUUAUGAAUACACAAAACAACCCACUAAAUGCACUUAUAUAAUAUGUACAUACAAAUAAGUCCUAUGCCCAAAAAACAUAAAGGUCUACGGGCUUAUCGGCCCGAUCCUUACGCUAACACCACAGACCCCAUUGAAAAUCACAAACAUGGGUCGCACCAUGAAACUUUCUGGCCUGGAUCAACAAAAUUCAUCUCACAAAUCUAACAAAGAUUAUUUUUAGAUGUUAUCAACUGCUGCUUUUUAUUAUCAAAGCUAGUGAAAGAUAUUGGCACAUCAGAACUCUUAAAUGGGAUCUGUGGUUUGAACCUGAUGUCGAAACUACAAUUGGAGUGGCAUGGAUAUUAUGACUUCCUAAUUUACCACCAAAUUUAUUUGUAAGAGAGGCAAUUUUCUCAAUUGCAUCUGUAGUCGGAAAGCAUUAACCGUAGAUAUGGCAACAGGAAAUCAAAAAAGACCGAGUUGUGCCAAAGUCAAGACUGAAGUGGAUUUGGUCACACAGUUUCCACAACAUGUGAGAAUCAAUGAGGAAGAUGAUAAGACAAGAGAAGUUAAGUCAAAGUGAAUUCAGAUACAAUAUGAUUAUAUGCCUAAAUAUUGUAAGUGUUAGAGUUGUGACCCGAAUUUCAUUGGUCCAGCCCUGAAAGUUUCGCGGUGUGACCCAUGUGAUUUUCAAUGGGGUCUGUGGUGGUAGCGUAGGGAUCGGGCCGAUAUGCUUGAUCCCGGAGCCCAUCACUGAUCUCAAUAGGGGUGCGGGGGAGAAGCUUCUGUGGUAUAGACCUUUAUGUUUUUGGGCCAACCUAUCUGUACGCACGUACUAUAUAAGUGCGAUUUAGUGGGUUAUUUAGAAAAUUAAGCCUUCUCCACAUUGUACUCUCUCUUCAUUAUAGUGAAACCUCAUCUGCCUCUACCUAUGGUUUUUUCCGCAAGGGUUUCCACGUAAACCUGUGUGUUGUUCUUAUUUUUCGUUUACUUGUGGUUUGCUUAUUCUGUCCGAAUCAUAAUAGUAAGGAAUGUUGUUUACAAGGGAAUGAUGAAGAAGCAUGUUGGACCAUUCAUCCAGAAUUAUUUGGAGCCAAGAAGGAGGAGGAAGACAAACAAAAAUAGGAAGGGGGCAAGAAGGCAACAAGGAGUGAGAACUCCCAUACACAUGGUAAACAAGAUGGAGGUGGGGGCAUUAACAUGCAGAACAAGAAUGAAAGACAAGGAUAAAUAAAUAUAAGAAGGAUUAAGUAUGGACACAUAGAAGGGGAAAUAGAGUAUAAGGAUGAAAAUCCUUUUGAUGCUCUUAGAGAUAAAGGGGAAAAGGAAAUGAUAAAAGAUAAGACAGAAGAUACUCAGCCAAAGGUACAAAUGAAGGAAUGGGUCAAUCAAGUUUUUCGAAAGGAAAAGGACAAGGAAAAAUGCAUGGAAAACAAAAACACGGAUGGAGAUGGAGAGUAGGUACACGAUCAAAGAGAGGAGGGGAAAGAGAAGCUUGACAAAGAGCCAUUAACUGAAGGUCAUGGAGAACAGAAAUAGGUAGAGGAGACAACUGAGAUAAACCGGUCUGGUGAUCACAAGGAUGAAGAUGACAGAGCUAUAAGGACAGACCGGGGAUGUAGUACCUUUAGCGGAGAUCAAUAUGGACAAGGAGGAUUUAAAGGGAACUAUUGAGAGUAUCUCAAGAAGUGGUGACCUGCCCCAAGCAGAUUGAAAGAAUCAAGGAACAACAUGCGAAAAAUAAGAAGAAAGGAAGUGGAGAUACACCCUCAGCUCGAGGCAAUCAAGGAGAACAAUAACAAAACCUCUUAAAUAUCAAUGAAUGCACUGAUUUGGAAUAUUAGAUAAGUGAACACUCAAAAAGUGUUCACUAGACUAAUUAAUAUGCACAAUAGAUAUCAAUUUUGUUUUAUUGGACUAAUGGAACCAUUUCAGGAUACACGAGAGUUAGAGGUUUAUAGAAGAAAGUUGGGUAUCAAACAUGUAGUUGCAAAUGUUAAUGGUAAAAUCUGGGCCCUUGUUGAUGAAAUGUUGGAGGCGGAAGUUUUAAGAGAUGAUGAUCAACAGAUUACAUUAAAGUUGAAGAAUCAAGUACAUGAGAAGGAAAUUGUGGUUACUUUGGUGUAUGCUAAAUGUACUCAAGGUGAAAGACUUCAAUUAUGGGAGUCAAUUUAUCAGAUUUCUCAUACUGUGGAGAGCCCAUUGUUAGUAGGAGGGGAAUUUAAUGUUAUCAUCAAAGAAGAGGAAAAACUAGGAGGAUUGACUGUUACAGAAGCUGAGUUAAGGGAUUUUAUCAUUGUAUUAAUAGUUGUGGAUUGGAAGAAUUUGGUUUUAAAGGCAGUAAAUAUACAUGGUGGAAUGGGAGAACAGAUGAUGAUUGUAUUUUUAAAAGAUUGGGUAAGGUGUUAUUCAAUGAUAGAAUGCAAGAAUUGCUCUCACGAGUAGAAAUAGAGCAUCUGGUAAGAUCCACUGAUCAUGCCCCUUUGUUGAUCUCAUUUAGUACAUCUAAUGAAAGGAUAAUCAAAAGUUUCAAGUUCUGAACUUUUGGCUGAAGGAGGAAUCUUUUAUGGAUGUUAUUCGGCAACAUUGGAAAGCAGAUUUUGCAGCUAACUCGUUUACUAUUUUUCAUCCCAAACUCAAGAGGGUGAAAAAGGCAUUGACACAAUGGAGCAGAGAAACUUUUGGUAAUUUUUUUCACGAAAUUAAUACAAUGGAGGAGGUGAUAAAAUUUUGGAGAUUCAAUUUGAAGUAAGUCCGUCAAGAAGUAAUAGGGAAAAAUUGCAUGAGGUUCAAGAUAGGUUGAAUAAAUAUUUGCAUUGAGAGGAGGAAUUCUGGAGGCAGAAAGCCGGAAUGGAUUGGUUCAAAGAUGGAGAAAGAAAUACAAAGUUCUUUCACUCUAUUGUAAAGGGUAGAAGAAGUAGACUUAGAAUGAAUAGAAUUCAGAAUGUCGAAGGGGAGUGGCUAGAAAAUCAAACUGAUAUUGCUGAAGCAGCUGUGGAAUUCUAUAAUAAUUAAUUCAAAAGGAAAGAUGUCCGUCCGGAAUUGGAUAUCUUGGAUGAGUUGCCUACUAUUUUGAAUGAUGAAGAAAGUGAAUUGAUGCAUAGUAUUCCAACUAAAGAAGAAGUUAAGCAAGCAGUAAUGGGUCUUAAUAGGGAUAGUGUAGGAGGGCCUGAUGGUAUGACGGGAGCUUUCUAUCAAGAUACUUGGGAUAUUAUUGGAGAUAAUGUGCAUGAGAUGGUUAAAGCCUUAUUUUGUGGAGUUGAUCUUCCAAGAUUUGUAACACAUACAAAUCUUGUAUUGCAACCGAAGAAGACUAUGGUUAGUACUUUCUCUGAUCUAAGACCUAUUUCCCUGAGUAAUUUUAUUAAUAAGAUCGUCUUAAGAAUUGUACAUGAAAGAAUAAAAAGGGUGCUUCCUAGAAUAGUUUCUAAUGAGCACUCGGGUUUUGUUCAACAAAGGAGUAUAGCAGAAAAUGUGUUAUUGGUGCAGGAAAUUAUCAUAGAAAUAAGGAAGAGGGGCAAGUCAUCCAAUUUGAUUAUAAAGUUCGAUAUGAUGAAAGCUUAUGAUCGAGUAGAAUGGAUGUUUAUUCUUAAUGUCCUAAGGAAGAUUGGCUUUAGUGAGAAGAUGAUAGACAUGGUAAAUAGAUUGUUGGGAAAAAACUGGUACUCACUCUUGUUGAAUGGGCAGCCUAAGAUUUUUUUCUUAAAAUCGACUAGAGGGGAAACAAGGAGAUCCUUUGUCCCCUACAUUAUUUAUUUUAGCUGCGGAAAUUUUGUCCAGAAAGUUGAAUUCGUUAAUGAAUGGAAAGGGAUUUAAGAGAUUUGGAGUCCCGAGAGGUAGUCUUAAGAUAAAUCAUCUAGCCUUUGCAGAUGACAUGAUUAACUUAUGUAAGGCUGACUUCAGGAUAAUGCAACUGGUUGCUCAAACUUUAGAUCAGUAUGAGCAAGCUUCUGGUAAGAAAGUGAAUAAAGAAAAGAGUUCCCUAUACAUGCAUCACAGUGCUUCAGGUGGAGAUGUGGUAAUCGCGGAGAUAGUUACAGGAAUUUUAAGAAAAGAUUUUCCUUUUACAUAUCUUGGGUGUCCUAUUUUGAGCUUGGGUGUCCUAUAGAUUUUCCUUUUACAUAUCUUGGGUGUCCUAUUUUGAACUUGGGUGUCCUAUUUUCAAAAGUAGAUCAUUUCUCUAAAAAUUACUAUUUAAUUAAAAACAAGACUUGAAGAGGCCAUUUAACAAAGAAUCCCGUGAUAACCCUUAAAGUUGAACUAUUAAAUAUUUAACAAAAAAUAGAAAGUGACUUUUGCGAUAAACACGGAGCUGAAUGACCACCGGUAAAAUUUACCCUUAGAUAAUUUUCGCGUGGCUAAAUCUAGUAGUAGUAGUAGGGUUCUUUUAGUGGCUAGUGGUACAAAUGACCCAAAUGUGUCACAACGAUGGUAUAAGUACGCCCAACUUUUAACAGAUGACAUAGCUAAGCCAUUUUUGAAAAAUUGAUGGCAUAUUUAAGAUUUUCCCAAGUUUUUUCAGUAGUAUUGAAAGACAUGAAUAAAAUGCUUCUCUUAGUGAAGACUAAUAUGACAAGAGUUUGGUGAAAUUGCAGGAAUUUUCUACUUUAUCUACUGAAAAUGUCUGAAAAUGACAUUGACUAUGUGUUAGAUCACCUAAGAAGGAUAAAGAGUGAAGGUGAUGUGAAUAGCUUCAAGAUUGAUCAAAUUGAGACACUUGAAAUGGAGCUAAGAUUUUUGAGAAGUUCUCUCAAAUACAAUCAUGUUCUAUUGCCUGAUGUCUCAGUCAAAAUCACAAAGAAGGCGAAAUUGAUUGUGGAAAUGCUUCAGUCAGUUUUUGGUGGUAAUAACCUUCUUAAUGUGGAAAGGCUGGUAUCACAUUUGCUGGAAUUCAUUCAAGAUAAUACCAGUUCAAGGUUCAAUUAUGUGCUGGACGAUUGCUUUCUGUUAGAAUAUAUGGAUUACCUUGACAAAAAUCUAUAUGAUGCACUGAGGUAUAUAGUCAAGUCUGACCCUCUCUUGAUAAAGGAAAUCAAAAUCCUUCUGAAGAAAAUGAGGUUUCUAAGAUACUUAUAUGGCACAGAGAUGAGUGGUUACGUUGACGAUGAGAAGUUGAAGGGUUUGCGGACACGAAUUCAGUUUAUGGCUGAAAAUGUAGGACACUUCUGUCUUGCUGUUUGGAUUGCUGAGGAUGGAGAAGAUGCUGAUUCAAAAGAGGAUAACGAUAAUACAUUUACUAUCGAGAGUAAGCCUCCUUAUCUACUAUUCCAGGUUGUGCUAGUGGAGCUGGAAAUGAAGAAUAUUUUUCUCAAUGAACUCAAGGCCUCAAAGUUUACUCAAUCAAGAACUUUCAAAGACAGGAAAUUACCUAAAGGAUUUUCAGAUUAUCUCCGUCAUCUGCUUGUGUAUCUUAGAAAUAAGAAGCUGAAGAACUUUCCUGUCAGUGUAACCAUGCGAGACAUUAUUGUUGUGGCAAUAGAGUUCUUGUUGGUUAUUAUUGGAAAUGUGCCAAAUCAUUUUAUUAAUGGCAAGAGGUUGAAUGAAGUCUUAGAAAAGGUUGGAGUUAUUGUGGGCGACAUACUAUGUGCAAUUCAAAUGUUUCUUGUAGGAUCUACAAUCGAAGAAGACACUAACAAGAUUGAUAUUAGCAUGAUACGGAUAUUGGAGAAAAUUGAAGAUCUAAAGGCACAAGUGGGGACGUGCUACAAAUCCUUUAAAUUCACUCCAUUUCACAAGGUCCCCAUUGUUGGUGGAUUGAGCUUUUUGGAUUCUCUUUUAAGGAAAUUUAAUGAGAUGUUGAAAUCUGAAUCAGGUUUAGAUUUCAUGAUGAAGCCUCAUAUAGUUAUUUUAGAGAAAGAACUCUCAUCUCUAGCAUGCAUUUUUAGAGAUCUUGCAAAGGUACAGCAUGAACAUACAAUUUUACGGCAUGAACAUAUACGUUUUGAAUUACUUCAGAGGCGUACUAUCAGUUUGGCAUAUGAUACUGAAGUUGCCAUUGACUCUAUGCUUGCUCAGUAUAAUGCUUUCUGGCAUAUCUUUUGUUCGCUUCCUACAAUUGUAGAAAUGAUCAAUAGUAUUAGUGUGGAGGUGCAUAAGAUGUGGCCGGCUAUCCUUGCUCUUAACCUCUGCUCUGUGGUAGAGCAAUAUAAACAUCUUCCAACUGGACAUAGCAAUCCUGUGAAUGAUGAAGAGAUCGUUGGUUUUGAGUAUGAAGCAAAAGAAAUAAUUGACUGUCUGACUUUAGGAACAAGAGAGCAAGAUGUCAUACCAAUUGUUGGCAUGGGGGGACAAGGUAAAACAACUUGUGCUAGAAAAGUGUAUAAUAAUGAUACCAUUGUUACUCAUUUUGAUGUUCAAGCAUGGUGCAUCAUUUCCCAAACAUAUAAAUGCAGACAACUAUUACAAGAGAUUUUCGGUCAAGUUACGGUUCCGAUGACAAGGGAGAUGAGGUUGGAAAACUUGCUGGCAUGUUGAGGCAAAGCUUAAUGACAAGGAGAUAUCUCAUUGUCCUGGAUGAUAUGUGGGAUGGUAUGGCAUGGGAUGAAUUGAGGCUUUCUUUUCCAGAUGUUGGAAACAGAAGUAGAAUAAUAAUAACAACUCGACUUGAGGAAGUGGCUAAGAAAGUCAAGUACCAUACAGAUCCUUAUUCUCUUCCAUUCCUCGCACUAAAUGAGAGUUGCAAAUUGUUGCAGAAAAAAGUGUUUCAUCAGGAAGGUUGCCCCCCUGAACUACAAGUUGUGAGUGAAGCAGUUGCAAGAAAAUGCAAAGGAUUGCCUCUAGUGGUUGUAUUGGUAGCUGGAAUAAUCAAAAAGAAUAAAAUGGAAACCUCUUGGUGGCAUGAGGUUAAAAGUUCUCUACUUUCCUAUAUUGGAAGUCUGAAGAAUAUAGUCUGGCGACAAUGCAUUUAAGUUAUGACAACUUACCUGAUUAUUUAAGACCUUGCCUUCUUUACAUGGGGAUGUUUCCAGAGGACGCGAUAAUUCUGGUAUCUAAAUUGAUAAGUUUGUGGAUUGCAGAAGGGUUCGUGCAUAACAUUGAAUCUGGGAGAUCAAUGGAAGAGGUAGCUGAAGGUUAAUUGACGGAACUGAUUAGCAGUAAUGUGGUAAUGGUUUCAAGGAGAAGAUAUAAUAAUACAGUCAAAUACUGUCAGGUUCAUGAUGUAGUGCUUCACUUUUGCUUGGAGAAGAGUAAAGAAAAAAAGUUUAUGUUGGCAGUGAAGGGCUAUUUUAGCCACUUUCAAACUUUGGGUUGGAAUGAAACUCGGCUGAGCUUCAACUUCAGCAAUAAGCUUUUCCAUGAGGUAAAUUCAUCUAAAAUUCUGCAAACUCUAAAGAGCAAUCCUGUGAAUGAUGAGGAGAUAGUGGGUUUAGAGACAGCAGCAGAAAAACUAAUUCAGUAUUUUACUCAAGAGGAAAAUAAACUAAAUGUCAUCCCAAUUGUUGGGAUGGGGGGACAAGGUAAAACUACAAUUGCUAGAAUUUUGUACAAUAACGACAGAAUUGUUCACCAUUUUGAUGUUCGAGCAUGGUGCAUCAUUUCCCAAACAUAUAAUUGGAGAGAGCUAUUACAAGAUAUUUUAAGUCAAGUUACCGGUUCCAAGGACAGGGGAUAUAAGGAUGACUAUCUUGCCGACAUGUUGAGGAAAAGCCUAAUGCGAAAGAGAUAUCUCAUUGUCCUGGAUGAUAUGUGGGAUGGUAUGGCAUGGAAUGACUUAUGGCGUUAUUUUCGAGUCGUUGGAAAGAGAAGCACAAUAAUAAUAACAACUCGACUUGAGAAAGUGGGCGAGCAUGUCAAGGGCCAUAUUAAUCCUUAUUACCUUCCAUUCCUCACAACAGAAGAGAGCUGUCAAUUGUUGCAGAAGAAAGUGUUUCAACAGGAAGUUUUCCCACCUGAACUACAAGUUGUGAGUCAAGCAGUUGCAGAAAGAAGCAAUGGACUGCCUCUGUUGGUUGUAUUGGUAGCUGGAAUAAUCAAAAGGAAGAAAAUGGAAGCCUCUUGGUGGCAUAAGGUUAGGAAUUCUCUGUGUUACUAUCUCGGCAAGUCUGAAGAAUAUACUCAUUCGAUUAUGCAGUUGAGCUCUGAAGAAUAUACUCAUUCGAUUAUGCAGUUGAGUUAUGUUAACUUGCACUGUCAUUUAAGACCGUGCCUUCUCUACAUGGGGAUGUUUCCGAAGGACGUAAGAAUUCCAGUGCCUGCAUUGAUAAGUUCAUGGAUAUGUGAAGGCUUCGUUCAAAGGGAUAAAUCUGGAAAGAGUUUGGAAGAGACAGCUGAAGGUUAAUUGAUGGAACUCAUCAGCAGUAACGUGGUAAUGAUUUCAACGAGAGAAGAUAAUGAUAGAGUCGAAUACUGCCAGGUUCAUGAUAUAGUGCUUCACUUUUGCUUGGAGAAGAGUAGAGAAGAAAAGUUUAUGCAGUCAGUGAAGCUCCAAUUUCGACCUUCUGAUGGGAACAAACACCAAAUCAGCCUCGAUUGGAAUGCCAAUAGUGCAGGCAUAGCACGGAGGUCGUUCCACCAAAACUUGAGGUCACUAAUAAUGAACAAUGCAGGAGAAUUUGCUAACCUGGAUCCCUUCGGUCUGGCUAGUAAAUUGAGACUUCUUAAGGUCUUGGAUUUGAGUUAUAUUAGAGUGAGAGAUUCGUCAUCAGCGACAUUGGAACCACUAAUUCACCUGAAGUACCUUGCAUUUUUCACAGAUUAUUCUAUUUUCACCGAGAAUCACAUCUGCUGCACCUCGAAACUUUAAUUGUGAAGUGUUUACCCAAUCACACAUCAUUACCAGGAUCCUUUUGGAGAAUGGAAAAAUUAAGACAUGUUGAGAUUAGUAAAGCUGGUUUUGAUUUGAGAAACAAUAAGCUGGGGAUAUUUGAAGAAUCAUCCAAAUUGGAAAAUUUGAGGAUAUUAAGAGGAGUCGUAAUUCAAAUUUGUGAUCCUGAUAGCAUGGAUGUCUUAUUAGGGAAAUUUCCUAAUCUUCAAGAACUUGACAUCAAGUUUUUGGGUUAUGGAGAUAAUGCAAAGUUUUGCCCCAACUUGAAGAGUCUUACCCAACUUCAAAUACUUCGCCUUUCCUUUGGGGGUUCUAUAAUUCUCUGUGGUUUACAGUUGCCUUCAAAUUUGAAGAAGUUGGUAAUAAUGGGUACUCAUAUAGAAAGCACAAAUGCUUUACUGGCACAACUAGAAAGUCUGGAGUAUCUCCAAUUAAGGGAUUUUAACUAUGAAACGGGAAAGUGGUGCCUCGGAGAUAUCACAUUCCAUAACUUAAGGUCUUGAAACUGGUGUGCUUACGUAUUUCAAGGUGGGAUGUCUCAGAUGCAUCUUCUCCCUUGCUUGAAACACUUGUUAUAAAGAGGUGUCAUUGGCUCGAGGAGAUCCCCCAUAGCUUUGCAUAUAUUCCAACACUAAAACAGAUUACGUUUAUUUGGUGGGUGGAACAAGAAUCUCUCAAGGCUUCAGCUGUGAAAAUUAAGGAAGAAGUCGCAGAUAUUGAAGGAUACGACCGUAUUGACAUCUCUAUCGGAGUAAGUAGAAGUAAACUCUAAUGUGCUGUUUUUUGGUAUCUAGGUGCAGCUAAUGUGCAAACAAUAUCUCUAAUACAGGAUAUGUGGGGAAAUCUAAAGCAGCUAUGAGUCAAGCACGUGCUUGUAACAACGACAUGGUAUUUUUCAGUCCUUUCUUGCUACUUUUAUGUUUUUUCCUAAUUAGAUGCUCACUAAGGAGAAUGUGUUUGGAUUUGACAAUUGCUAGGAUAAAUGCAGACAAAGCAGAGACAGGGUGGAUGAAGUUCUUUCAUAGCUAAUUGUUGUAGCCAUGCUCAUGCUGGAGUUUCUUAUAUUGUGACACUACUACUGAUUGCUUAGGUUUGUUUUGCUUGAUCAAUCGUGCCUACUUGGAAGAAUUAUAUUCCUCGUGCAGUAGUGUAAUUCUAUGAUUCAUAUUUUGGUUUAUUCCGUCUGUCCUAACUUUUACAGUUAAAGUUACUCACACGUACAAUUAUUCUAUUUUUUAAUAUUAUUAAAAUAAUGUUUUUGUGAAUUGCUUCAAAUAAUGUACUAUUUUGUUUCUUUCCCUNNNNNNNNNNNNNNNNNNNNNNNNNNNNNNNNNNNNNNNNNAAUGGAACAAUUUGCAACAAAAAAUAAGACAGACAUGAGUCAAAAUUGAUCGCCUUUUCUUUGAUUGCUUCAUCAGGUAAUUGCUGUAGUGACUGAUGGUGGUGUCGACUGCAAUGUGGAAUUUUCUUGCUACGUUGAUUCCAUGAUUUCAACAUUUGAAUGUGUCCAUGAUGUAUGUAUUCCGUCCUGAAGAACCAAGUUCAAGCAGUUGAGUUUAUUUCAGUUCUUUAGUUUGUCUAGAUCUUGUAGUUGUUUUUAGUUGUGAGUUGUAACCAUAUUCGCUUAUUCAAGAAGUUAUGUUGUGAGUUUUUCAGAGAGGAACUUCUAUUUUAGUCGAAGAGUUCAGCUUGGAGAUAAUAGCUACAAUCUUGUUAUAAUUUUUCUAAGUAGAAACUGCUCAUUGUUUUAAUGAGGUAUUUCGAGAGAAAUCCCAGAGGUGGGCCGCGGUUUUUACUCGCUUGAGCAAGGAGGUUCUAACUUACAUUCCACUCUUGUUACAGGAGUUGAUAGAACCUGGAUCUGUGCUGAAGGUUGUACUGUUGGUGUUUUAGUAGUCAAAAUUUUAAUGGAUCAAAGAUCUAUUAUAAGAAUAUUCACCUCCCACUAGUUUUUAAAGUAAGAGCCACUCAUAAAUUCCAUUUUCUCAGAUCAACAACCUUUUGAGUUCAUGAACAAGGUCAUCCAUCAAUCUAUCUCUUGCAUUAAGACACUGCCAGAGUAAACUAGUUUAAGAUUCAUAAUGAUCCUAAACAAAAUGCAGCAAGCAUAAAUGAGACUGUAAAUAUGCAUAUGAAAUAUGUAGCAGUAACCGAUUCAGUUAAUUUGAUGCUUAUGUCCAACCAAUUAAGGUCAUCCUUAGCUAACAGUUGCGGCCAUACUCAUUCUGGUGUUUGUUAUGCAGCUAGCCGAAGUGUCCAUCCUCUUAUAUUGUGACGCUACUACUAAUUGCUGAAGUUUUAUCCUAUUCUCUUGGGAUGUUCUUCAUAUAUGCCUGUUUAGUAUAGAAGAAUUAAGUUUCAAUGUAAUGGAGGCUGCAUCCCUUUAGAGUCACGACACAGCGCGAAAACUAAGGAAACUUGAAACAAGCAAUUGAAAGAUGUAAAGCUAACUUAAGUGAUUCAUCAUAAAGGAAGGACUAUGUUAAAUAGGCAUUGUUUAGACUCAUGGAUGACAAAAUAUUUGGAAGUUAUUGAUGGUAAUAAGAAGGAAACGGAGCAGCAUUCAGUGUCUCCUAAAACUAUAGAGAUGGCAGAAAGAAAGAAACUGAUAAACUAGAAAACACCAGAACAUAGAAAGCUCUGCCAUAUGUACUUAAAAAGAAUAUGAGCAUAGGUGGAUUUAAAGGAGAAACAGAUGUAAAUUGGAAACAUUCGAAGAAGCAAAUGUAAUGGAUUUAAGCAGAUCUUCAUCCUUCAAAUCGCGGUGCACCAGUUGACAGCAGAAAACUGCAGCUGCAACAUGGUUCCGAUAUGUGACGACACCCCCCACCCUAACCCCUCAAGUCCCAAUCUAAACCUUCCCAAAAAAGUCUCGGACAGUAAUAUUAACUUGUAGAAAGGAUCGAAAGAUAAAUUAGGAUGCAAGUACUCAAAACAAGGAGUUGGGUUGUUACAGGUUCUUGAGCAAGAAUGAUCCUCUAGGGGAACAUCAUAUUAUGCUUGGAAUGUGCACUAAUCUCAAAUACUUUUGGUACUAGCAAUAUUUAAACUCAUUGGAGCCAAGCUACUUCACCAUUGAAAUAAAUGCAAACAAGUAUCUCUCUGGUCCAUAUUAACUUAAUUUGUGAGCAUUUGUCAAUGUUCAAAAUAACUUGAAAUUGACUGCACAACUAAACUCCUUUGUCAGUUUUGAAAUUGACAAUAAGCUGAACUUGAAAUCAGGCACAUAUAGAACAUUUUUGAUUGUCUGAUUUUUCAAUAUGAUUGUAUUUCCUGCAAGUAUGAUGAUAGAUCUAUCACCAGCAGGAACUUGUACCCCAUUUCUUUCUUCAUUUGCAACCUCUUUAAAAUCAGUUAAGAGUAUUUUAAGAGGUGUUACGUGAUGUGUGGCUCCGGAAUCAAUUGUCCAAGCACAUGACAUAAAGAUGUAUAACAAUGAUGUUAUGCCUGCCAUGUUAGAAUGAUGGUUUCCUACGUGGUUACAUCCACCUGCUGCUGAAAAUGAGCCUCCCAUGUUGGUAUUAUAGUCACUGGUGUUAUUAUUAGUUGCUUUAGGACUGCAGUAUUUAUUUAUUUAUUUUAUUUCCUGUAUUUCUUUUUUAAGUUAUUAGGAGGUAGUUAGCAUGGUUAGCACCAUGACUUUAAAGUAGGGCCAUUAUCUAUUUCAGUUUUUAAAAGAACACUUUAUGUAACUACUCUUUGACAGAAAGUAAAAUUCUCUGCACAAGUUUCUUGCUCUCGGUGAUCUUCUUCAUUCUCCUGCUUCUUUUCUGUAGCAAUCUAGAUAUCGUUUGCAUAGUGUUAUGUGCGAUUUGUAUUUAAAACUAACAUUUGGUAUCAAAGCUUUCAUCUUAAGGGAUCUGUGAUUUAGUUGGAGAAGUCAUGGAUGCAGAAACCAGUUUCUCACCAAUCGCUCUGCCGGUCUUUGAUGGAGAUAACUAUCAGGUUUGGGCAGUAUGAAUGGAGACAUACUUGGAUGCUUUAGAUCUAUGGGAAGCUGUGGAAGAGGCCUACCGAAUAAUCCCACCAUGGCUCAGACUAAAGCGCACAAGGAAAAGAAGACAAAGAAAUCGAAGGCCAAGGCAUGCCUAUUUGCUUCUGUAUCGUCAACAGUUUUCACACGAAUAAUGUCUCUGAAAACUGCUAAAGAAGUAUGGGAUUAUCUUAAGGAAGAGUAUGCUGGAGAUGAGAGAAUAAAAGGUAUGCAAGUUUUAAACUUAAUUAGGGAAUUUGAAUUGCAAAAAAUGAAGGAUUCUGAAACAGUGAAGGAGUAUUCAGAUAGACUUCUUAAUAUUGCAAAUAAAGUGAGGCUACUUGGCUCUACACUUGCCGACUCAAGAAUUGUUGAGAAGAUUCUGGUAACAGUUCCUGAAAGGUAUGAAGCAACAAUUACGACCUUAGAAAGUACUAAGGAUUUGUCAAAAAUUAGUUUGACGGAGUUGCUCAAUUCCCUGAAAGCUCAAGAGCAAAGAAGACUCAUGAGACACAGGAUGUUACAACAGAAGGGGCUCUUGUCAGUAAGCACCAGGUUGACAAAUUUUUGAAGAAGAAAAAGAAUCAAGCGUUGAGUGAAGGAGAAACAUCAAUCAACAACAAAGGUAAGGGAGGAAGUGCGAAAAACUUUCCCCCUUGUUAUCACUGUGGAAGAAAAGGCCAUCCACCAUUCAAGUGUUGGAGGAGACCAGAUGCUAAAUGUAAGAAAUGCAAUCAAAUUGGACAUGAGGUGGUGAUUUGCAAAAGUAAAGCCCCACAGCUGGAAGAAAAUUCUCAAGUUGUUGAUCAAGAAGAGGAGGAUCUUCUUUUUGUUGCAACAUAUUUCUCAAGUAAGAUCUCAACAAAUUCUUGGUUAAUUGAUAGUGGGUGUACUAAUCACAUGACUCAUGAUAAGAGCCUAUUCAAGGAGUUGAACCACACUAAAAUUUCCAAGUUUAGGAGAGGAAAUGGGGACCAUAUUCAUGUCAAAGGAAUUGGAACCAUAGCUAUCAAGACUGACACAGGCAUAAAGAAAAUUGCUGAAGUACUUUAUGUUCCUGAGAUUGAUCAAAACUUGCUAAGUGUAGGACAUCUGAUGAAAAAAGGAUUUAGACUUUUCUUUGAAAAUGAUCACUGCCAAAUCAGCGACACUGCUGCAAAUGAAAUUUUCAAGGUGAAGAUGAGAGGAAGGAGUUUUUCCUUUAGUCCAACAGAGAAGGAGCAACUUGCUUAUUCCAUGAAGUCAGAUGUAACAGAAAUCUAGCACAAAAGACUUGGUCACUAUCAUCUACAAGCAUUAUUGUUACUGAAUAAGGAGGAUAUGAAAAGAGGACUACCAACUCUCAUCGAUCACUUACCAAGUUGUCAAGCUUGUCAAUUUGGUAAGCAGAAUAGGAAACCAUUUCCUAAAGCAUCAUGGCACGCUUCUCAAAGGUUGCAAUUGAUUCACACAUAUGUUGCAGGACCUUAAAGAACACCGUCCUUUAAUUGUAGUCUUUACUAUGUUAUAUUCAUUGAUGAUUAUACAAGAUUCUGUAGGAUUUUUUUUCAUGAAAUACAAAUCAGAGGUGGCUGGAAUAUUUUGAAAGUUCAAGAAGAUGGUGGAAAAUCAAAGUGGCUGCAGAAUCCAAUCCUUACGUUCUGAUAAUAGAAAAGAGUACACUUCUGAAGAAUUUAACAAAUUCGGUGAGGAAGAGGGUAUUUCUCAUACUCCUUACACUCCGCAUCAAAAUGGAGUUAGUGAAAGGAGGAACAGGUAUAUAAUGGAGAUGACGCGGUGCAUGUUGCAUGAAAAAGAGUUGCCAAAAAGUUUUUGGGCUGAGGCAGCUAAUACAGUAGUAUUUCUACAAAAUCGGCUUCCCACUAAAGCUUUGGAGAGUAAAAGUCCAUUUGAGGCUUGGAAUGGAUUCAAACCAUCUCUAACCUUCAUUAAAGUAUUUGGUUGUAUUUGUUUCUUUCAUGUGCCGCAGGUUAAAAAAGACAAACUUGAUAAAAGGGCCGUCCCAGGAAUCUUUGUGGGUUAUAGCUCAUCCUCCAAAGCCUACAAAAUUUAUGAUCCACAAACAGGGAAGAUGAUUAUUAGUCGAGAUGUGCACUUCAAUGAGGAAGAGAAAUGGGAUUGGAAAAACAAUCAACUUUCAGUCAAAGCUUCGGAGGAGCAGACAUCUAAUCAAUGGCAAAAUGAGUUAGUAGAUGAUCCUCCAGUUAGAGGUACAAGAUUACUUUUUGAAAUCUACCAACAAAGUAAUGUGGUAGUUUGUGAGCCUGCAGGGCACAAGGAAGCUCUUCAAGAUGAAAAUGGAGAAAUGCGAUGGAGCAGGAGAGGCUAAUGAUCAAGAAAAAAAACACUUGGGAGUUAGUUGACAGACCGAAAGAUAGAAAGGUCAUUGGAGUAAAAUGGGUAUUUAGAACCAAGCUUAAUUCUGAUGGUUCUAUCAACAAAUACAGGGCUAGGCUUGUCGUCAAGGGAUAUACCCAAAUAUUCGGUGUUGAUUACUCGGAUAUCUUUGCUCCAGUAGCCUGACUAGAUACCAUCAAAAUGUUGCUAGCAAUAGCAGCACAAAAG
rnacentral:lncRNA from 1 species